UACGUAGGGUGCGAGCGUUAAUCGGAAUUACUGGGCGUAAAGUGUGCGCAGGCGGCCGAGCAAGUCGAGUGUGAAAGCCCCGAGCUUAACUUGGGAACUGCGCUCGAAACUACUUGGCUAGAGUGUGGCAGAGGGAGGUGGAAUUCCACGUGUAGCGGUGAAAUGCGUAGAGAUGAUGGAGGAACACCGAUGGCGAAGGCCAGCCUCCGUGGGCCAACACUGACGCUCAUGCACGAAAGCGUGGGGAGCAAACAGG
rnacentral:rRNA from 1 species